rnacentral:lncRNA from 1 species
CAUCCUGUGAUGAAGCUCUGCCCAGUGAUGGAGCACGUUAGUCCAAGAAUCACCACUCAACGUGUCCAACAACCUAAAAUCAGUGCUGCUCUCCCUCAAAGAGCUGGCUAAAGCUUAAACAAAAUGUAGGAAUUUUUUUUUUAAAUAAUGCGUGUAGUCCACUAAUGUUUUUGGAAAGACAAACCCUCUGGAGAAACAAGACAAAGCCUGUAUCGUGUUCCUGUGAUGUUCCUGCUGACUGACCUGAGGAUUUGGAGCAAGGCACUGAAAAUUCACCAUCAUUACAAUCCAGCACGGCUCAUUCAGUAAAAGCACAUUUCAGGAAAUCUGACAUUACUACCAAGGAAGUAUUGUCCACCAUGCAGGCUGAGCUGGUUCUUGCAAUCCUUUCACCUGCAGAAAGCCCCAGAUCCCUUUCCCAACCUGGAGGACUGAUGGCUUCAUUCUGCAAGGGCUGA